CACCACUACUACAACAUUAACAUUUGAAGUUGAAGCAACACGAAAAAAGUUGAAGCUCGUUUCUGUUUUCUGCCAGUGAUAAAUUUUAAAAUCAAUCCAGGAAGAUGCCAGCUGGAGCUAUGUGGGUUAUUGCAGUUAUAGCUAUUUUGCCACUCCUUUUAUGUGGUGAAGGCCAACAGGUGCUAAACACCACACGUAAUUAUAUACCUUGAUCUAUAGAGAGGUGACGUGCCAAGUAAUGUACUUAUCUUUCUCCCUUCUUUAUAAACCUUUUGUCCUUAUUUUCGUAAAAAUUGUACGGGACGCCUAUUUAGUCGCCCCCACUUAACCUAUAUUUAUUUUUUAAAAAAUUUCUAACUUAA